rnacentral:rRNA from 1 species
UCAAGCGCGAAAAGGGCGUUUGGUGAAUGCCUUGGCAGUAAGAGGCGAUGAAAGACGUGAUACUCUGCGAUAAGCCAUGGGGAGCUGAGAAUAAGCUUUGAUCCAUGGAUUUCUGAAUGGGGCAACCCACCUGAUUGUUUAUUGUUGUCCUACCGCUUUGCUACUUGAGGACGUAAGUUCGCAAGGUGCAGACGGUGGGUUCAUCAGUAAGCAGAACCAGGUAUUUAUAGACUGAAUACAUAGGUUUAUAAAAGCAAACCCGGGGAACUGAAACAUCUAAGUACCCGGAGGAAAGGAAAUCAAUUGAUACUCCCCUAGUAGCGGCGAGCGAACGGGGACCAGCCGAGCCAUGAGUGUGGUUAGAAUGCGUUGGAAUGCGCAACCAAAGUGGGUGAUAGUCCCGUAUAAGAAGCAUGAUUGGACGUAUUAAGUAGGGCGGAACACGUGAAAUUCUGUCUGAAGAUCGGAGGACCACCUUCGAAGGCUAAGUACUCCUUACUGACCGAUAGUGAACCAGUACCGUGAGGGAAAGGUGAAAAGCACCCCGACGAGGGGAGUGAAACAGUACCUGAAACCGAACGCCUACAAUCAGUUGGAGGGUCUUUACGGCCUGACAGCGUACCUUUUGUAUAAUGGGUCAUCGACUUGGUCUCACAAGCAAGCUUAAGCCGUUAGGUGUAGGCGUAGCGAAAGCGAGUCUUAAUAGGGCGUUGAGUUUGUGGGAUCAGACCCGAAACCGAGUGAUCUAGGCAUGGCCAGGUUGAAGAUAAGGUAACACUUAUUGGAGGACCGAACCCACAUCCGUUGAAAAGGAUCGGGAUGAGCUGUGCCUAGGGGUGAAAGGCCAAUCAAACUCGGAGAUAGCUGGUUCUCUGCGAAAUCUAUUUAGGUAGAGCGUCAUCCGAAUACCCUCGGGGGUAGAGCACUGGAUGGGUAAUGGGGCCCCACAGGCUUACUGAUCCUAACCAAACUCCGAAUACCGAGGAGUACUAGAUGGCAGACACACAGCGGAUGCUAACGUCCGUUGUGAAGAGGGAAACAACCCUGACCUACAGCUAAGGCCCCUAAUUCAUGGCUAAGUGGGAAAGCAGGUGAGACGACCAAAACAACCAGGAGGUUGGCUUAGAAGCAGCCAUCCUUUAAAGAUAGCGUAACAGCUCACUGGUCUAAAUAAGUUGUCCUGCGGCGAAGAUGUAACGGGGCUCAAGCCAUGAGCCGAAGCUGAGGAUGCACGUAGUGCAUGGUAGCAGAGCGUAGUGUGACAUAACACAACGCCUCCUUAGCUCCUUCGGGAGCAUUGGAGGCGAGGUGUUUUCGAUGAAGCCGGGGCGUGAGCCAACCGGUGGAGAGAUCACUAGCGAGAAUGAUGACAUGAGUAGCGACAAACAGGGUGAGAGACCCUGUCGCCGAAAGUCCAAGGGUUCCUGCUUAAAGCUAAUCUGAGCAGGGUAAGCCGGCCCCUAAGGCGAGGCAGAAAUGCGUAGUCGAUGGGAACCAGGUUAAUAUUCCUGGGCCAGGAGAUGGUGACGGAUUGCGAAGAUUGUUCCUCCUUAUUGGAUUGGAGGGGCCGUUUAGCAGUUCCUGGAAAUAGCCCUCCGUAGGACCGUACCCUAAACCGACACAGGUGGACUGGUAGAGAAUACCAAGGCGCUUGAGAGAACGAUGUUGAAGGAACUCGGCAAAAUACCUCCGUAAGUUCGCGAGAAGGAGGCCCGUUCAGUAGGCAACUAUUGGGCGGGGGCACAAACCAGGGGGUGGCGACUGUUUACUAAAAACACAGGGCUCUGCGAAGUCGCAAGACGACGUAUAGGGUCUGACGCCUGCCCGGUGCUGGAAGGUUAAAAGGAGGGGUGCAAGCUCUGAAUUGAAGCCCCAGUAAACGGCGGCCGUAACUAUAACGGUCCUAAGGUAGCGAAAUUCCUUGUCGGG